UAGGGUGCGAGCGUUGUCCGGAAUUACCGGGCGUAAAGAGCUCGUAGGUGGUUUGUCACGUCGUCUGUGAAAUCCACAGCUUAACUGUGGGCGUGCAGGCGAUACGGGCUGACUUGAGUACUGUAGGGGUAACUGGAAUUCCUGGUGUAGCGGUGAAAUGCGCAGAUAUCAGGAGGAACACCGAUGGCGAAGGCAGGUUACUGGGCAGUUACUGACGCUGAGGAGCGAAAGCAUGGGUAGCAAACAGGAUUAGAUACCCUGGUAGUCAAGGGCG
rnacentral:rRNA from 1 species